AAAAAAAAACAAAUAGAGGUUUGAAAGUGGUCCAAAAUUGACAGUGUGACUAAGAAGAACAAGCAUGUGGAGAGUAGAGUAAUUUUCCAUUCCAUAUGAAGCUCCUGCUAAUUGGAAUUAUACUUGAAUAUUAAAAUAAUAGGGCCAAGAAGAAAGCUCCCAAAAGUUUUUCCUUUCUCCGCAGCUCAUUGUUGGCAUCCUCUAAUCUCGUUCGGUUGUAUUCCUGCACUGAUUGAGCAGGAGACGACCUCUUCCCUUAUUCGGUAAGACAUUCGGCAUUCUUGCUGUCGUUUGUGGCCAAGCUAAAGAUUCACGGAUUUCUGUGGCAUGUAUUUUUUGAAGACGCUAGGGGUGUCGAUAUUCAUUCGCAAGCUCAAUGCCAUUGAAGUCAAAGAGCUUUGUACGCCGCCCGUCGUUUCUCUCUAGCUCAGAUCCAUUCCUGGCUUUGCAUGUGCUGCUUUUGUGCUAAUCUCUUCUCCAGUACUUAAUUCUUGAGAAGAUGCUUCUUAUCGAGAAAACUUGUGAUCUUGCAUCACAGAUCUAGUUUCCUCUAAGCUCCUUUUUCGCCAGCGUCUUCUUUGGUUUGUUCAGAUGGCUUCGGGCUGAUGCGAUUGAUGUUGGGUGGGGUGCAAUAAUUCAGUCUUCCGGAUCGAUCCGACUCCUUUAGUUGCUAAGGUUUCUAGAGGGAGGAUUUGCAUUCUUUGUUGGGCUGGGCUUUCUUUUUUUAUUGGUUGGGCUUAUAGUUUGGAUUUGUUUUAUCUAUUUGGGUCCUGUCUUAUUUUUGUCAGGCUUAAACUUUUUUAAUAUUUAAUCGCAUAUUAUUCACUGAUUAUA